rnacentral:rRNA from 1 species
UGGGUAAUCUGCCCUCGAUUCUGGGAUAGCCCGGGGAAACCCGGAUUAAUACCGGAUAGCCUCUCGAGCUUACGAGCUCUUGAGAAAAGGUAGCUUCGGCCUCCGAUCGAGGAUGAGCCCGCGGCGGAUUAGCUCGUUGGUGGGGUAAUGGCCUACCAAGGCAACGAUCCGUAGCUGGUCUGAGAGGACGAUCAGCCACACUGGGACUGAGACACGGCCCAGACUCCGUACGGGAGCAG